GGAGUCUAACAUGUGCGCGAGUCAUUGGGUUGCAAACCUAAAGGCGGAAUGAAAGUAAAGAGAGCUUUGCUUUUCUGAGGGAGGAUGGCCGUGCUGCUCCUGAGGCGGCGGCCCGCACUCCCGGGGCGUCUACUGCUCAUCGCGAGCGGAGGCGCACCAAGAGCGUACACGUUAGGACCCGAAAGAUGGUGAACUAUGCCUGGUCAGGACGAAGCCAGGGGAAACCCUGGUGGAGGUCCGUAGCGCUUCUGACGUGCAAAUCGAUCGCAGGAGCUGGGUAUAGGGGCGAAAGACUAAUCGAACCAUCUAGUAGCUGGUUCCCUCCGAAGUUUCCCUCAGGAUAGCUGGUGCUCAAGUGAGACGAGUCUCAUCCGGUAAAGCGAAUGAUUAGAGGCCUUGGGGUCGAAACGACCUCAACCUAUUCUCAAACUUUAAAUAGAUGAGAACUCCGGCUUGCUUAAAGGUGAAGCCGGAGAUUCG
rnacentral:rRNA from 1 species